AUUGAACGCUGGCGGCAGGCUUAACACAUGCAAGUCGAGCGGGGUGAUGGUGCUUGCACUAUCACUUAGCGGCGGACGGGUGAGUAAUGCUUAGGAAUCUGCCUAUUAGUGGGGGACAACAUCUCGAAAGGGAUGCUAAUACCGCAUACGUCCUACGGGAGAAAGCAGGGGAUCACUUGUGACUGUGCGCUAAUAGAUGAGCCUAAGUCGGAUUAGCUAGUUGGUGGGGUAAAGGCCUACCAAGGCGACGAUCUGUAGCGGGUCUGAGAGGAUGAUCCGCCACACUGGACUGAGACACGGCCCAGACUCCUACGGGAGGCAGCAGUGGGGAAUAUUGGACAAUGGGGGGAACCCUGAUCCAGCCAUGCCGCGUGUGUGAAGAAGGCCUUAUGGUUGUAAAGCACUUUAAGCGAGGAGGAGGCUCUUUUGGUUAAUACCCAAGAUGAGUGGACGUUACUCGCAGAAUAAGCACCGGCUAACUCUGUGCCAGCCGCCGCAGUAAAAC
rnacentral:rRNA from 1 species